GCUUCUGGCUCUUUCUGCGGGAGACCACAGGGCGGCGUUUAGACGUGAGCGCCCCGGAAGACUACAAUUCCCUUUAUGCUUUGCGACCUAGCAUCCCCGCCCUUCCGGAAAGGUGCAAACUCACUUAACAAAGCCGUAGAGCCGAAGGCACGCUGUUGGGUCAGUUCAGCAAGCGGUAAUAUUGAGAUAAUUAGCAGAAGUUGAAAAGGGAGGGCGAAGAGGGGACCAGCGGCAGCGCUCUGGGCAUGUUGCAUCACGGGACUGAAAGAUAACAGUAUUGUAUCAACAUUAAAUUUAUUGAUUUUUAUUACUGUA